UACAGGGGGUGCAAACGUUGCUCGGAAUUAUUGGGCGUAAAGCGCGCGUAGGCGGCUACUUAAGUCGGAUGUGAAAGCCCUUGGCUCAACUGAGGAAGUGCACCCGAAACUGAGUGGCUUGAAUCCGGGAGAGGGAUGCGGAAUUCCAGGUGUAGCGGUGAAAUGCGUAGAUAUCUGGAGGAACACCGGUGGCGAAGGCGGCAUCCUGGACCGGCAUUGACGCUGAGGCGCGAAAGCCAGGG
rnacentral:rRNA from 1 species